rnacentral:rRNA from 1 species
GAUAAGGAGCUUGCUCCUUUGAAGUUAGCGGCGGACGGGUGAGUAACACGUGGGUAACCUACCUAUAAGACUGGAAUAACUUCGGGAAACCGGAGCUAAUGCCGGAUAACAUAUAGAACCGCAUGGUUCUAUAGUGAAAGAUGGUUUUGCUAUCACUUAUAGAUGGACCCGCGCCGUAUUAGCUAGUUGGUAAGGUAAAGGCUUACCAAGGCGACGAUACGUAGCCGACCUGAGAGGGUGAUCGGCCACACUGGAACUGAGACACGGUCCAGACUCCUACGGGAGGCAGCAGUAGGGAAUCUUCCGCAAUGGGCGAAAGCCUGACGGAGCAACGCCGCGUGAGUGAUGAAGGUUUUCGGAUCGUAAAACUCUGUUAUUAGGGAAGAACAAAUGCGUAAGUAACUGUGCGCAUCUUGACGGUACCUAAUCAGAAAGCCACGGCUAACUACGUGCCAGCAGCCGCGGUAAUACGUAGGUGGCAAGCGUUAUCCGGAAUUAUUGGGCGUAAAGCGCGCGUAGGCGGUUUCUUAAGUCUGAUGUGAAAGCCCACGGCUCAACCGUGGAGGGUCAUUGGAAACUGGGAAACUUGAGUGCAGAAGAGGAAAGUGGAAUUCCAUGUGUAGCGGUGAAUUGGC